GUUUGCUCAACCCUGUGUCUGCUGAGGAAGUCUGCAAUCGUUUUCUUCUUUUGAAUAUGUUUGAGUCCUGACCAUAACAGGUUGAAUAGCAAACGACUUCUGGUACCUCCCUGAUUGUUGAUGUAUGCGGCUGCUGCCCUGUAUUCUAAACCUAGUUUUAUCCAUUGAAAGUGGAGUAAUGCCAGGUAUGUAACCUUUAAUCCUCUAUUUCGAUCAGAGGGAAUCCCUUGGAGAGAUUGUCCCAUGCCAGCCACCAUGUGAAGUCCUUUUUUUCAAUUGUCUUAAAUUGGGAGAAUCUUGAGAGCUGGAAUUGAAAUGAUACAGAAAGUGCUAUUAAAGAGGUUGAAGAUUCUGCUGUGCCCAUCUUACUAGGCCUAUUGUGGAUGAAAGGGUUCCUAUAAUUUUCAUAAA